UACGGAGGAUCCAAGCGUUAUCCGGAUUUAUUGGGUUUAAAGGGUGCGUAGGCGGCUUUUUAAGUCAGGGGUGAAAGACGGUGGCUCAACCAUCGCAGUGCCUUUUGAUACUGAAAAGCUUGAAUAGACCUGAGGUAGGCGGAAUGUGACAAGUAGCGGUGAAAUGCAUAGAUAUGUCACAGAACACCAAUUGCGAAAGGCAGCUUACUAAAGUCUAAUUGACGCUGAGGCACGAAAAGCGUGGGGAUCAAACAGG
rnacentral:rRNA from 1 species